rnacentral:rRNA from 1 species
UACGGGGGGGGGCAAGCGUUGUUCGGAAUUACUGGGCGUAAAGGGCUCGUAGGCGGCCAACUAAGUCAGACGUGAAAUCCCCAGGCUCAACCUGGGAACUGCGUCUGAUACUGGAUGGCUUGAGUUUGGGAGAGGGACGCGGAAUUCCAGGUGUAGCGGUGAAAUGCGUAGAUAUCUGGAGGAACACCGGUGGCGAAGGCGGCGUCCUGGACCAACACUGACACUGAGGAGCGAAAGCCAGGGGAGCAAACGGG